CCCUACGGGGUGCAGCAGGCGCGGAACCUUUCCAAUGCGCGAAAGCGUGAGAAGGGAAUCCUAAGUGCCAAUACUAAGUAUUGGCUUUUGCCAUAUGUAAAUAGUAUGGCGAAUAAGUAGUGGGCAAGACUGGUGCCAGCCGCCGCGGUAACACCAGCGCUACAAGUGGCAAUCGCGUUUAUUGGGCCUAAAGCGUCCGUAGCCGGUUUGUCAAAUCUUCUGUGAAAUCGCUCAGCUUAACUGAACGGCGUGCAGAAGAGACUGGCAAACUUGGGACCAGGAGGGGUUAGGAGUAUUCCAGGGGGAGCGGUAAAAUGCUAUAAUCCCUGGAGGACUACCAGUGGCGAAGGCGCCUAACCAGAAUGGAUCCGACGGUGAGGGACGAAAGCCAGGGGAGCAAUCCGGAUUAGAUACCCGAGUAGUCCUGGCUGUAAACUCUGCGAGCUAGGUGUUGCAUAUUCUACAUGGAUAUGCAGUGUCGGAGCGAAGGUGUUAAGCUCGCCGCCUGGGAAGUAUGGUCGCAAGACUGAAACUUAAAGGAAUUGGCGGGGGGAGCACCACAAGGGGUGCGGCGUGCGGUUUAAUUGAAUUCAACGCCGGAGAUCUCACCAGAUGCGACGGCAGGAUGAAAGGUCACGCUGAAGACCUUACUUGACAAGCCGAGAAGAAGUGCAUGGCCAA
rnacentral:rRNA from 1 species